GUUCAUUUAAUUACAGUAGAUGAAGGCUUCAGUGCAUGGCAAAAGCUAGAAAUCUCUCGAGAAUAGUAAUCAGCAUCGCCUUCUCUCUGCCUGCCUGAUGGGCUUUCGGGUAACGGUAGCAGAUUGGAGAUAGCAGAGGAGCUCGAACAGAUGAACACAGAGACAUUCGAACCCGGAAAGCCUCUAUAUGUGCUUGCUCUCUCCUUUUUCUUUCCCAUUUCAUCUUGGGCACUUUGUGUAAGAAUCUCGGAAUAUAAGAAAUUCCAGUACAUGGGACUUUGCUUCAUUUUUAGUAUCCCAUCUGAUGUUCUUGCAGCCAGUCGCCCCUCCAUCACUCUCUGCCUAACCUGGUAUCAAAAAACAGUCUUUAAGGGUUGAAAUGAAAAGAAAAGUGUGGUGCAGGGACCAAAUUGAAAACUCACCUAAAGUAUGGGGACGAACGGUAUAAUUCUCAAGAUAAUGUUAAUCGAGGGAGGAAUCGAUUCCACAGCUUCUGAGCACUAGUACUCCAAUGGCCAGAGCUCACUCGUCUCUGUCAAUUCUCCUCCGUCAAAACCACCACCGCUUUCGGCAGAACCCUAGCUUUUACGGUCACAUCAAACGCCUCAGCGUCGGUGCCAUCCACGGCGGUGACCAGCAGGACAAGACCCUCUCGCUCUCGGAGAUAGCCGCGAAGGUCUGCAAGAUCACGCGCACGAGACCCAGGUGGGAGGUGACCCUGGUUUCCGAAUUCCCCUCCUUCGAUUUCUCGGACCCCAGCUUCUUCCGCGAGCUGUUCAGGCAACAGAAUAACGCCUUCCUUUCUCUGCGCUUCUUUCACUGGGUCGUCUCGCUCCAUGACGCGCCGCCCGAACCGGAUUCGUGCGAAUUGCUGUUCGAUGCUCUGGUCGCGGCCAAGUCGCUCAAUGCCGCGAAGUCGCUGCUUCAGAUUCCGGGGUUCUCGCCUGGGGCGGAUUCGUUGGAGCGUUACGUGCGCUGUGCUUGCGAGGGCGGACUGCUCGAGGACGCGAUCGAUGGGUUUUUCAAAUUGGGAGAAUUGGGGGUUCGCCUGUCGGUUGAGACAUGGAAUUCGGUGUUGAAAUGCUGUCUCAAGGCUCGGCGGACCGAUCUCGUCUUGGAGUUCUAUGAGCAGAUGGUGAAAUUGGGUGUUGUAGGCCAGGCGAAUGCCGAGACUGUUGGGCACCUGAUUCAAGCCUUUUGUGAAGGUGGGAAUCUUUUGAGAGGUUAUGAGUUGCUUUGGCAAGGAAUUGAAAACGGAUUGAUCCCUCAGUAUGCGACUUUCAUUAGGUUGAUAUCUGGGUUUUGUAGGCAGGGGGAUUAUGCGAGGGUGUCCCAAAUACUCCACUUGAUGAUUGCGAAGGACCGUGCUCCGGAUAUAUUCGCAUAUCAGCAAGUCAUUAAUGGGCUCUGCAAGAAUGGGAGGCAGCUCGAGGCUUAUCGGGUUUUCAGUGAUCUAAAGGAUAGAGGGUACUCACCGGACAGGGUCGUGUACACCACAUUGAUUCACGGGUUCUGCAACAUCAGAUGGAUGGGUGAGGCGAGGAAGUUGUGGUUUGAAAUGAUUCGUAAAGGCUUUUUCCCUAAUGAGCAUACUUACACUUCAUUGAUUCACGGGCUUUUCAAAAGCGGGAAAGUAGAAGAGGCAAAAAAACUGUUUGAUGAGAUGAGUUGUAAAGGUCACGGAAAGAGCACAGCAGUUUACAACAUGAUGAUUUCUGGGUUAUCUUUGCACGGAAGGUUAGAUGAAGCUGUUGGGAUGUUUGAAAAAAUGCCUCGGAAGGGCAUUGCUCACGAUCGGAUCACCUAUGACACUUUGGUACAGGGCUUUUGCAGGGUUGGAAAGUUAACCAAUUUAAUAGAUCUCUUGGACAAGCUAUCACAACAGGGUGUAGUUCCAUCAAGUUCCUCUUAUGCCGCACUUCUUGAAAAGCUCAUUGAGCUGGGGGAAUUGCAAGAAGUGAAGUUGUUAUUGAGUGAUAUGCAAAACAAGGGUGUACAACUAUUGGCUGGUACUUGGGAUCAAAUUGUGAAUGCAUUGGUCAAAAGCGGGUUCGUCACUGAGGCCAUGGACUGUUUGGUUGACAUGCUAAACAGAAAUAUCCAACCUCGUAAGACAACUUUCGAUGUGCUUAUUCAGAGCCUCUUACAAGGUGAUAGCUUAGAUGAUUGUGUACUUGUGUUAGACACAAUGUUCAGGGUGGGUUAUGUUUUGGAAGAAGGCAUGUGCCAUUCUCUGGUCGAUAAAAUUUGUAAACAAAAUAGCAACUUUGUAGAAAAAUGUAUGGCAAAGAUACUUGAAGGGAACUGAGGUUUUAGAAUCAUCACAGUUGAGAAUACUUCACAGGAUCUACAACUUAUCUUUGAACAAGUUUUGCAGCUGGCUAUAAAAUUUAUAAAUGAGCUCUCUUUUGUUGCUCGGAGGGAUCUGUCGAAUGUACUUUUUGUCUUUGGUAGGUCAUGGCAGCUGACAUGUGGUCUGUAUGAACAUUUAUCUUAAGCUGGUCAUUGUGAAUCUGUCUUUCCGAAUGCUAAGCAGCAAUUCUCCAGUUCUUACAGACUGCAAUUCAAUCACCAAAUGCUACAGUUAUCCUUUUACUUUUGAUGCUCAAACAUGAGUGCUCUUCAACCUCGUGGCAUAUCCAGAGGCCGAAGGAAGAGGAAAGAGCAGAAAGAGAAAUGAUGUCCUCGAAUUGGCAAAAGCUGAUGGUAAAUAAAAAGGGUUAUAAGAGGAGUUUGUUUUGUUGACACUUGAUAUGGCAAUCUCUAUUUUUCUCGUGAAACUGCCCAUCGAUGCACUCGCCAUUGUACUGUUUGCAAUUCAUAAGGUAUCACAGGCAUGAGCUAGGAAUAUGCAAUUGCAUUUUUUAAGUGGGAUCUCAACAAUGUCUGGACACCACAUCAAUCACACCAAUCCUUGAUGUCAGUUACAUCUCUCAUCAGAUCGUAAUGAUUGGGUACUAAUUCAACAAAGAAUGGAGGAUGGUCUCUAAUUUGAAGGAGAGCGAUGGUGAUUCAAUGAUAGCCCAAAGAGAGUUCAAGCAAUGCCCUUUCCACCAAGUAAAAGAAAAGGUGGAAGAUGUUUUGCUGUUGCCGCCAUAAUAGAAGCUAAAUAUCAUAAUUCAAAGAAAGCAGCGUGAGUACCCUCUUUUAGUAAUUUAAAUCUUAUUGUUAAUCAUUCUUUUAGUUGAAAACAUCUUUUGUAGCACAAGCUGUUCUUUAUAUGCAACAUUGAUGCUGGGGUGCCUUCAUCCAUUCGCUUCCAUGAUGUGUUCUCCAAAAUAAACAAAUGCCUGCCUGCCCAAAUAAUUUAAGAAUUACUUUUCCAUCUACAAGGGGUAGACUGUUUCUUAAGGUCCGGAUUGUCUUUGGAUUGCAGGUUUGGCUCCUGGUUCUUGUCGUUUUACCAGCCAGGUCCCCUCUUAAUAAUGCAUUCUGGGCGUAUAUUGUACCUGGCCUUUCUUGGUGUGUGGACCAUUCCAAGACGUACAUGGAUGUUGAGUUGAUCUGUUGACUUGUUCACCAUGAAAAGUUGCAUAUCCAUUUAAGAUUCAUCUGAUGAGCUCCCUGGAUACCUUUUGUUCACACUGAUUAUCUUUUGAUUUUUCAUAGAAAAAUAACUGGAGCAUUUGAUGAGUAUGGUCAUUGGGACUUUGCCUAGUUCCCCAUGCUUUUAUUCCUCUCGUGUAAUUAGGUUACGUUUUGCAAUGACAUGAGUUGUUUCUCUUGCUUCUGACUUGUAGUCUUCAGAACAGUGACGUGGUGCAAGGGGAAAGUAACCACACACCUGUCCAGUUACAAUCUUUAGCUAUAUUUAUGUUUCUCUCUUUGUUGAACUGGCUAUUCCAUGCCCUUUUCAGCCCUCGUUCUCCAUUUGGGGACUGUUUGUCAAGGGACAGUGACAGGAAGAAAUGAGAUGAACAUUCCACUAUGCAUUUGGCUCUGAACAGUUGAAGACAUAUACUCUGGAAAUUCUCUUUGUUCUUGAUCAUGUUGGACGUUAGAAUGACUGUGCUCAGUUAUCUUUCCUUUCCCUCUUUGGUGGAAUUUCCUAUUUUAUUAGUUCUGCAAUUGUAGGAUCAAUUGGGAGGAUUAUCAUUGCUUUCUAGCAUUCUCUUUACAAUGGGAUUGGGAUUAGAUGGCGUGCCUCCUCUUUUACUUGAACUUUGCAUUGGAUUUAGUAACAUAUAGUUGGAUACUCAAUCCAAUAUACUGGUCUUAUUUUCUUUAUUUUUUAUUGACGUUUGUAUGGUACUACUAAGAAGCAUUUUUUUUUUAGGAGGAGGGACAAAAUCUUCUUCUUAAUGGCAUAUUCAUUGUGCAGAACUUUUAUCUUCUGUAAGUUCAAUCAAUUGCAUAUGAAGACUAAAAUUAAGAUUGCUCUGAGGAAAGGUCUUUCUUCAUUUUCACGUUGAUAAUGGCAUAGCAGCAUGGGGUUUGAGUAUUAUGAUGAGUGGACAGGGGAGCAAAAUAUGCAGUAACCUGAUGUUACAGAAGACUGAACUAGAAGAAAUUCACCCAUGGAAGACUGCGAUGUCCACGGUUUGCCCAGGACAGAUUUAACCACGCAACCAAAGUGUUCCUACUAUGCAAUAUCAGGAUAGACGAAGUCCCAUUUUCGUCAUGGUUGGUAAGUGAUCUGAAUCUGUUCAGAAGGGCAAGGGCAAGUCAUUCUGCCAUAGCAUCUUUACUCUAUAUAACUCGUCUUUAUGGUGCAGAUUGCUCCGCACAAUCAGUGGCCGAUGAUGGAGCAGCUGGUUCGUGUCCCUGCACAGUCAUGACAUGUUCAUUUAACUACUGUUGAUCAAAGCGAUGUCGAAAAGAGUGGGCACACACAAGAACUUUCUCGAGAACAGUAACCGGUGUUGUUCUCUCUGCCCAACGGAUGGCUUCUGAGUAAAGGCAGCAUGCUAGAGAGGGCUUUAGUGGCUCGAAUAGAUGAACACAGAGAGAGAUUGGAACCUGGAAAGUCUCUGCAUAUGUUUUAGCUCUCUAUCUUCUCUCUUUUUUCAUUUUCCUCUGGGCAUUUUGUAUAAGAAUCUCAGACCAUAAGCUCUUCCAGUACCAGUAUAUACACUCUUGCAUUUUAUUAUCAA